UGGGAGAUGGCCGAGCGGACUAAGGCGGCAUUCUUGAAAAGUGUUUGGUGUAAAAGCCACGCGGGUUCGAAUCCUGCUCUCCCAGCCU
rnacentral:tRNA from 1 species